CAGCACCUCAAGUGGUUGGGAUGAUUAUUGGGCCUAAAGCAUCCGUAGCCGGCGCUGUAAGUUUUCGGUUAAAUCUGUACGCUCAACGUACAGGCUGCCGGGAAUACUGCAGCGCUAGGGAGUGGGAGAGGUAGACGGUACUCGGUAGGAAGGGGUAAAAUCCUUUGAUCUAUUGAUGACCACCUGUGGCGAAGGCGGUCUACCAGAACACGUCCGACGGUGAGGGAUGAAAGCUGGGGGAGCAAACCGGAUUAGAUACCCGAGUAGUCC
rnacentral:rRNA from 1 species